GUCGUCGUGACCGAGUGGUUAACGCGACAGACUUGAAAAACAGGUUCGAAUCCUGUCGGCGACG
rfam:Ciona savignyi cont_53396, whole genome shotgun sequence.